rnacentral:rRNA from 1 species
UUCAGUAAUUGCGCAUGAACCAGGAUAUGCUUAGCUUGACAAAUGGAGCUGCUGGCUCUGAAUUGUAUUGUGGGAAUGUAUUACCAACAGAGGUGCAGGUCACACUCCUUGGCAUUGGAAUGCAAAGUGGGUGGUAAGUUUCAUGCAAAGGUAAAUAUGCAAUUGAGACUGAUAGCGCACAAGUACCAUGAGGGACAUAUGAAAAGGACUUUGAAAAGAGAAUUAAAUGAGUUUGUAUUUGCUAAACACAAAGUAAACAGACUUGAUUUCCUCAGUGAGAUUGUAGUGCUUGCUUAACAAUGGGUUUUGGCUGCAAGUGCAAUAAUUCUUGCUUUGUGUGCCCGUUUUUAUGUGGACAUUUGAUUACCUUUGCACAUGAAUGGUAAUUUUCCUGCGGGGUGUGGAUUGCAUAUGCAUGUAAUGAUUUGCAUGUUUGUUAAAUGUGUCUGGUGUAUUUGUUUGUGUCCUUGUCCUUGAGGUUGCUUUCUCCCUUGGGCUUACAUGCCCUGGCACACACAUUCUGGCAAAAUGCUUCUGCUUGACCCGUCUUGAAAAU